CGUGAGGAAUACCGGCGAGAAAUCGCCGACAAGACCGCAUAGGCUUCUCUUUCUUAGCAGGGAGGGAAGCAAAGCCUGCACUCGCAAGAGCGUGGGUGCUUGGGGAUGGGCCUGCGGCCGAUUAGCUGGUUGGUGAGGUAAAAGCUCACCAAGGCGACGAUCGGUAGCUGGUCUGAGAGGACGAUCAGCCACGCUGGGAUUGAGAACGGCCCAG
rnacentral:rRNA from 1 species